CACAUAAUAACUAGGAGGUGUAACUGUGGAGGAACUGAUGGACCCGACUGACAGAACUGGAUCAGAACAGACAAACAGAAUAUGAGCUGCUGAGUGAGUAGAAGAGGAAACAGAAGAUAAUCUGACACGACGCUGAUCUGAAGUGAUGAGUUAUGAUUUAUAAGAUUAUAUAAUAUUGCUGGAAUUAUAAAUGAUUGAAGUUACAGAACAGUUGUGUUGGAUUACUUCAGAUUAGAGCUGCGAGGUACGACCUUAAAAUGAUAUCAAGAUAUUUUAAGGCCACAUCCUGAUAUAAGAUGUGUAACUGGAUAAUGUGAAAUGUUCUCAGAAGAACUUCAGAAGUGUUGGGACGAGCCACAAAAUCAAAUAUCUGAAUAUGUUCGACCAGAUAGGCCCCACUGUGAGAUCAAUACUGAUGAAUGAUGAUUGUUACUUUCACAAAACAUUGACAGGAUGAGAUUUUUUGAUCAAUAAUCAUCAAUAAUGCUGAUAUAAUGACUCAGUGGGUAAAGAAAGUUCAGAACAUGACGUCACUUUACUGUAAUGAGCCUUUAGAACCAGGAGACAGUUUUGAUAUAUCACCAUGUGAGAAUAUCAAAUAUCUAAAACAAUAUAUAUUCUCAUAUCAUGACAACAGUUUAUAUUGUUUAUGUUGCUCAGCCUACUUUAGAUUGUACAGGUGUUCCUAUUAAAGUGUCCACACACAAACUAUGUUAACAGAAGGAGACGAGCUUUUAAUGAUCCUGUGUUUCACAUUUCAUAACACAUUUUCUUUAUUAUUUAAUGUGAAUAGAAACAAAGUUCACAUGACGUCCUUUAAUGUGUCACUGUUAGCUGUGUUUAGAUUAGAGAGAUUAGAGAGAGACUUUAUUAAUUGAACUAUGUAGAUGAAACUGUGUGUUUAUUACUGAGGUCACAGUUAAAGGUGCUGUUGUACUGAAUACUGAUCAUUGCAUUAACACCUCGAUGACCGUGUCUACAAAAAGUGAACAUUAAUACAUCAUAUGAUAAAGUUAAUGUCAGAAGAGUUGUGUUGGAUUACAUCAGAUUGUGCAGGUGUUCCUAAUAAUGUGGCCACUGAGUGAAUGAACCACUGAUAACAAAAGUGCUGUACGAGGUUUGAAGAUCCCAUGUUUCAUAUUUCAUAACAUUUUUGAUAUUACUGAAAUAGUGAGACAACAAAUUUCAUGUGAUGCAUUUUAAUAUAUUUGUUCUGCUCAACAAGUUUUAAUGUUCAGAGUUAAACGAUCUGCUGUGAGUCAGAAACAGUGUCGGCAGUUUGAAUCAGUCUGAAAAAUGUUUGUGAGAAGUUAGAAAUGUUUAACUUUUCUUGUCCCAGUGAAGAGAAGUCAUGAACAGAAACACUGUAACGUGACAUUUAUAAUCCUGUUGUUGUUGUUUAUAACUGAUGAAUCACUUCCUGUCAUCUUCACAGGUGCAGCUGCAGCACCAGGCUCCAACACUGGACUGCUCAUGUUGUUCUUCUUGUUGCUGUUGUUGUUCUAGCUUUGCUGCUUUGGAAACACAACUGUAGGACACGUGUACCACUGGGUCCACCUGAUCAGAAACUAACCAGCUCUGCUUGUGCCAUGAAGUUUUCUGCUGUGUGUGUUUCCACCAUGUUGGAUGAUGGUGAAGACAUUUUGUCUGCUCUGCGCUUAUUUCAGACCGUUUGAGAAUUGAAAUGUGGUUUUUAAAGUUAAAGUUAAUUUCAGUUUGAGGUUCAGAGUUCAUGUUGUGUUGAGGCAGAUAGUUGAGAUGGAAGCAAGAUUAAUAAAUGAAAGCUGUUAGUCGAUGUGCAUGUAUCUCAUUAACACGACCUCAAUCUGUCCCUGAACUAAACCAAGUGUCGGACUCAGAAUCAGAGUAAAAAGACGUCAAAUCAACAUCCACUUCAAGCAGCGAUUGACCAACACAGAGAGUCUGAAGGGUUCGAACUUCUCUUUAAUUCUGACCAACUUCUUCUUUCACGUCUCGUGUACAACAGAGUUCAACUUAAAGAAAGAUUGUGUGAACAUAGUGGAAACACCAGAAACAUUUUCUGGGCUCGACAGUCGGGAGAAAUUUGUGGAAUCGAUAAAAAGAAAAUGUAACAAAGUGCAAAAGAAACAGAGUUUGACUGGAGCUCUUUUAAUUAUAACGUUGUGUCUUCUGCUGCGGUUUAAAAGCUUCUGACUGGAGAAUCAACUGUUUAUCUCCACGAACCAACUUAUUAUAUUCACAUCAUGUCGUCACUUUGCUUUUUCUUUUGUUGCUUUUCUACAAAUUCUGUUUUAACGUUAAAAUCUUUUGCCUUCAGAUUCGGUUCGACAAGACGUCGUACAAACUAGUUCACCCAGAGCUGAGCUGAGUUCAGCUUCAUGAUUUUAAAUAUGCAGUUUAUUUGAUAUUUCCCACAAAUCUGACCUCAUUUAAAUCUUAAACCAUGCUGUAGUUUCCUGGCCACAGGGAGGUUGAACAACAUCUGAACCGACUCACUUCCUGAAACCAACAAACCAACAUUCACAUCCACUUCAAGUAGUGACUGACCAACACAGGAAGUCUGCAGGGUUUGAACUUUUCUCUCAAGCUGGAUUUUAAUUCUUCACACAACUUCUUCUUUCACGUCUCUGUUCAACAGAGUUCAACUGACAGUAAAGAUCGUCUGAACGUA